GGCGCGUUCGUCUAUCGGUUAGGACGUUAGAUUCUCAAUCUAGCAAGAGGGGUCCGACUCCCCUACGCGCUACCA
rnacentral:tRNA from 1 species